UGGCAAACCUACAGUCCUUCCAAAUCUCUAUUAUGCGUAACAAACAAAGGAAAGAAAGCCCAAAUUUUUCUAUUAUGCAAAAUAUUUAUAAUGAAAUGAAAAUCUGAUUUUACCGUGUGCACUGAGCAACGGGCGGCGGAGGGAGUCUGUCGGGAGCGGGGCGGCGGAGCCUGGCGGGAGCUGGGCAGCAGAGUCGUGGCGAAGCGGCGGAGUCUGGCGAGUGGCGAAGCGGCGGAGUCUGGCGAGAAGUGGAGGAGGCAGCCGACGUCACUCGCAAGAGGGCAGCCGCACGGAGGACUUGCAGCGGCGGACGGAGGGCGGCGGUGGACGGCGUCGCCAGGCGACGAUAUAGAGAAGAGAGGGUGGGGCUGGGGUGUGCAGCGGCGGGAAGGGCUGGUAGGGUAGGGAAAGGAAAUCACAAA
rnacentral:lncRNA from 1 species